GCCCAGUUAGCUCAGUUGGUAGAGCACUUGACUUUUAAUCAAGUUGUCCGGGGUUCGAAUCCCCGAUGUCUCA
rnacentral:tRNA from 1 species